GACGAACGCUGGCGGCGUGCUUAACACAUGCAAGUGGAGCGACGAACCAGGGCUUGCCCUGGGGCAAAGCCGCGAACGGGUGAGUAACACGUGGGUAACCUGCCCUGAUGAUUGGGACAACCCGAGGAAACUCGGGCUAAUACCAAAUGUGCUCUCCAGCCUCAAGGCUGGUGAGGAAAGGUAGCUUCGGCUUCCGCAUCAGGAUGGGCCCGCGGCCCAUUAGCUUGUUGGUGAGGUAACGGCUCACCAAGGCUUCGAUGGGUAGCUGGUCUGAGAGGACGAUCAGCCACACUGGGACUGAGACACGGCCCAGACUCCUACGGGAGGCAGCAGUGGGGAAUCUUGCGCAAUGCGCGAAAGCGUGACGCAGCAACGCCGCGUGGAGGAAGACGGCCUUCGGGUUGUAAACUCCUUUCAGUUGGGACGAAGCUUCGCCGGUGAAUAGCCGAGCGGAG
rnacentral:rRNA from 1 species